GGGUGAGUAACGCGUAAGUAAUCUACCCUGGCAUCUGGAAUAACCCACCGAAAGGUGUGCUAAUACCGGAUACGCUGAUUUAUCAGGAAAGGUGGCCUCUUCAUGAAAGCUACUGUGCUGGGAGGAGCUUGCGUACCAUUAGCUAGUUGGUGGGGUAAUGGCCUACCAAGGCGACGAUGGUUAGCGGGUCUGAGAGGAUGAUCCGCCACACUGGAACUGGAACACGGACCAGACUCCUACGGGAGGCAGCAGUGAGGAAUAUUGCGCAAUGGGGGAAACCCUGACGCAGCGACGCCGCGUGGAUGAUGAAGGCCUUCGGGUCGUAAAAUCCUGUCAGAUGGAAAGAAAUGCCAGAUGUCUAAUAUAUGUCUGGUUUGACGGUACCAUCAAAGGAAGCACCGGCUAACUCCGUGCCAGCAGCCGCGGUAAUACGGAGGGUGCAAGCGUUGUUCGGAAUUACUGGGCGUAAAGCGCGCGUAGGCGGCUAUUUAAGUCAGAUGUGAAAGUCCACGGCUCAACCGUGGAAGUGCAUUUGAUACUGGGUAGCUUGAGUACUGGAGGGGAUGGUGGAAUUCCCGGUGUAGAGGUGAAAUUCGUAGAUAUCGGGAGGAAUACCGGUGGCGAAGGCGACCAUCUGGCCAGAUACUGACGCUGAGGUGCGAAAGCGUG
rnacentral:rRNA from 4 species